GAAGAUUACCACUGCAGACCUGCUGCCCCAGCAUGUGAUCUGAGAGCCCUUUGCAAAUUAGCUCCUUAUUUAACAUUGCACUUCUUUCCCCCCAUAACCCUUAGUAGUAUAACACCUAUGGCAAUCUUUGCUUUUUCUUUGAGUAAAAUGUUUCUUUUACAGAAGUGUUCCUGAAAACUCGUCAAUUACAGGAAAAGCUGCAUGACUGCAUCUUUAGAGGAGAUGGUUUCGCUGGUUCCAAGGAUUCUGUUAAUGAGAAAACUCCACAGGCCAGCAUUCUGUAAGCUGGCUCCAGCAGCCCAGUUGACAGUGGCUGAGGCCAGUUCCUGAUCAUCCUGAGGAACACCAGUCAACUCACAAAUCCCUGAGAGGGAAGCCUCCAGGAUCCUAGAGUAGAUGACCAGAUGCCCAGGCGCAGGAUCCACGGAAGUCAAAGUCAAGCUUUCUAGGCCGACAGCUGUCCUCAGUCGCUUGGUCAGAUAGUCUAAUCUCAGUUUUUCAGGAAUCAAGGCCAGAGGUGUGAACAAGGUGUCAGCUCUGAAGGGAAGGUUUUUCUAAGGAUGGACCCACACCAGAAGGUCCCUAGCAUAUAUAAUGGGGAUACUUUACAAACUCCUGAGUAUGAAAAAGUCUCUCAGUA
rnacentral:lncRNA from 1 species